rnacentral:rRNA from 1 species
UGGGGAAUAUUGCGCAAUGGGGGCAACCCUGACGCAGCAACGCCGCGUGCGGGACGACGGCCUUCGGGUUGUAAACCGCUUUCAGCAGGGAAGAUAGUGACGGUACCUGCACAAGAAGCCCCGGCUAACUACGUGCCAGCAGCCGCGGUAAUACGUAGGGGGCGAGCGUUAUCCGGAUUCAUUGGGCGUAAAGCGCGCGCAGGCGGCUCUUCAAGCGGAACCUCUAACCCCGGGGCUCAACCUCGGGCCGGGUUCCGAACUGGAGGGCUAGAGUGCGGUAGAGGCAGGCGGAAUUCCCGGUGUGGCGGUGGAAUGCGCAGAUAUCGGGAAGAACACCGAUGGCGAAGGCAGCCUGCUGGGCCGGCACUGACGCUGAGGCGCGAAAGCUAGGGGAGCGAACAGG